rnacentral:rRNA from 1 species
UACGGAGGGUGCAAGCGUUAUCCGGAUUCACUGGGCUUAAAGGGCGUGUAGGCGGGUACCUAAGUCAGGGGUGAAAUCUCCAGGCUCAACCUGGAAACUGCCAUUGAUACUAUUUAUCUUGAAUAUCGUUGAGGUAGGCGGAAUAUGUCAUGUAGCGGUGAAAUGCUUAGAGAUGACAUAGAACACCAAUUGCGAAGGCAGCUUACUAAACGAAGAUUGACGCUGAGGCACGAAAGCGUGGGGAUCAAACAGG